rnacentral:ncRNA from 1 species
AUAAAGUUUGUUUAAAGCUUUUUUUUUAGUUAAAUCAUUUAAUUAUAUGGGCUAAUAUUUUAAUUAACAUUUUCCAGUAAUAAAUAUUAAAAAUUUAAUUUAAUUGUUAAGUUAGUUAUUGAUAAAAUUAUAGAUUAAUAUUGUGCCAGCAUUCGCGGUUAAACAAUUUAUGAAAAUUAAUAUUAUAAAAUUUGUAUGUUUAAAUUUAAUUGAAAUAAAAAUUUUGUAUUGAGGUGGAAUUUAUAUAUCUAAAUAAGUUCUUUGAGACAGCUUGUUAAGUUUUAAAUUUAAACUAGGAUUAGAUACCCUAUUAUAUAUUAUUAAAAGUGUAAAGAUUUGAAUAGUAUUAGUUAUGUUCUUUAAAGCUCAAAUAAUUUGGCGGUGAAUUAUAUUUUUAGAGGAAUCUGUAUUUUAAUCGAUAUACCACGAUAGUUCAAACUUUUAAUUUGUUUGUAUAUCGCUAUAUCAGAGUGUUUUUAUAGAAUAUUCUCUUUAACUUGUCAUGAAUAAUGUUAGGUCAAGAUGCAGUUUUAUAAAAGUUUAUAUGGAUUACUUUAAUGUUAAAAUAUUUAAGUUGAAUUUCAAAUUGAUUUUAGGAAUUAGGAUUUAAUAGUAAAAAUGAUUAAUUAAUUAUUUUGAAUUAUUCUCUAGUUCAUGCACAUAUCGCCCGUCACUCCUAAUUUUAGUUAGGAUAAGUCGUAACAAAGUAAUUUUACCGGAAGGUGUAGUUAGAAUGAU